UCAUUGAUGCAGCUACAAGAUAACUCGUAGUGGCAAAUUCCGCCAGACAUUGAUACUAUGAGUAUACUGGGUGGCAGUCAACUGUUAAGGGUCAAGCA